rnacentral:rRNA from 1 species
UAGGGAAUCUUCGGCAAUGGGGGCAACCCUGACCGAGCAACGCCGCGUGAGUGAAGAAGGUUUUCGGAUCGUAAAGCUCUGUUGUAAGAGAAGAACGUGUGUGAGAGUGGAUAGUUCACACAGUGACGGUAACUUACCAGAAAGGUACGGCUAACUACGUGCCAGCAGCCGCGGUAAUACGUAGGUCCCGAGCGUUGUCCGGAUUUAUUGGGCGUAAAGCGAGCGCAGGCGGUUUAAUAAGUCUGAAGUUAAAGGCAGUGGCUUAACCAUUGUUCGCUUUGGAAACUGUUAAACUUGAGUGCAGAAGGGGAGAGUGGAAUUCCAUGUGUAGCGGUGAAAUGCGUAGAUAUAUGGAGGAACACCGGUGGCGAAAGCGGCUCUCUGGUCUGUAACUGACGCUGAGGCUCGAAAGCGUGGGGAGCAAGCAGG